rnacentral:guide_RNA from 1 species
AUAUAAGGUAAAUGAGAGACGAGGGUAGACUUGUGAUACUAU